rnacentral:rRNA from 1 species
GACGAACGCUGGCGGCGUGCUUAACACAUGCAAGUCGAACGGAAAGGCCCUGCUUUUGUGGGGUGCUCGAGUGGCGACCGGGUGAGUAACACGUGAGUAACCUGCCCUUGACUUUGGGAUAACUUCAGGAAACUGGGGCUAAUACCGGAUAGGAGCUCCUGCUGCAUGGUGGGGGUUGGAAAGUUUCGGCGGUUGGGGAUGGACUCGCGGCUUAUCAGCUUGUUGGUGGGGUAGUGGCUUACCAAGGCUUUGACGGGUAGCCGGCCUGGGAGGGUGACCGGACACAUUGGGACUGAGAUACGGCACAGACUCCUACGGGAGGCAGCGGUGGGGAAUAUUGCACAAUGGGCGGAAGCCUGAUGCAGCACAGCCGCGUGCGGGAUGUCGGCCUUCGGGUUGUAAACCGCUUCCGCCUGUGACGAAGCGUGAGUGACGGUAAUGGGUAAAGAAGCACCGGCUAACUACGUG